AGAGUUUGAUCCUGGCUCAGGAUGAACGCUAGCGGCAGGCUUAACACAUGCAAGUCGAGGGGUAGAGGUUGCUUGCAACCUUGAGACCGGCGCACGGGUGCGUAACGCGUAUGCAACCUACCUUUUACAGAGGGAUAGCCCAGAGAAAUUUGGAUUAAUACCUCAUAGUAUAUAUCUUUCGCAUGUUAGGUAUAUUAAAGUUCCAACGGUAAAAGAUGGGCAUGCGUCCUAUUAGCUAGAUGGUAAGGUAACGGCUUACCAUGGCUACGAUAGGUAGGGGUCCUGAGAGGGAGAUCCCCCACACUGGUACUGAGACACGGACCAGACUCCUACGGGAGGCAGCAGUGAGGAAUAUUGGACAAUGGGCGCAAGCCUGAUCCAGCCAUGCCGCGUGCAGGAAGAAGCAUCUAUGGUGUGUAAACUGCUUUUGUACAGGAAGAAACAUCCCGACGUGUCGGGACUUGACGGUACUGUAAGAAUAAGGAUCGGCUAACUCCGUGCCAGCAGCCGCGGUAAUACGGAGGAUCCAAGCGUUAUCCGGAAUCAUUGGGUUUAAAGGGUCCGUAGGCGGUUUGGUAAGUCAGUGGUGAAAGCCCGCAGCUCAACUGUGGAACGGCCAUUGAUACUGCCAGACUUGAAUUACAAGGAAGUAACUAGAAUAUGUAGUGUAGCGGCGAAAUGCUUAGAUAUUACAUGGAAUACCAAUUGCGAAGGCAGGUUACUACUUGUGGAUUGACGCUGAUGGACGAAAGCGUGGGGAGCGAACAGGAUUAGAUACCCUGGUAGUCCAA
rnacentral:rRNA from 1 species